rnacentral:rRNA from 1 species
UACGUAGGGGGCAAGCGUUGUCCGGAUUUAUUGGGCGUAAAGAGCGUGUAGGCGGCUUUACAGGUCCGUUGUGAAAACUCGAGGCUCAACCUCGAGACGCCGGUGGAAACCGUAAGGCUAGAGUCCGGAAGAGGAGAGUGGAAUUCCUGGUGUAGAGGUGAAAUUCGUAGAUAUUCGGAAGAACACCAGUGGCGAAGGCGGCUCACUGGCCCGGUACUGACGCUGAGGUGCGAAAGCGUGGGGAGCAAACAGG